CCAGCUGACGAGUCCCAAAUAGGACGAAAUGCGCGUCCUGG
rnacentral:hammerhead_ribozyme from 1 species